rnacentral:rRNA from 1 species
GUCCUACGGGAGGCAGCAGUAGGGAAUCUUCCACAAUGGACGAAAGUCUGAUGGAGCAACGCCGCGUGAGUGAAGAAGGGUUUCGGCUCGUAAAGCUCUGUUGGUAGUGAAGAAAGAUAGAGGUAGUAACUGGCCUUUAUUUGACGGUAAUUACUUAGAAAGUCACGGCUAACUACGUGCCAGCAGCCGCGGUAAUACGGAAGGUCCGGGCGUUAUCCGGAUUUAUUGGGUUUAAAGGGAGCGUAGGCCGGCUUUUAAGUCAGCUGUGAAAGUCCGCGGCUCAACCGUGGAAUUGCAGUUGAAAC